rnacentral:rRNA from 1 species
UACGGAGGGAGCUAGCGUUGUUCGGAAUUACUGGGCGUAAAGCGCACGUAGGCGGAUUUGUUAGUCAGAGGUGAAAUCCCGGGGCUCAACCUCGGAACUGCCUUUGAUACUGCAAGUCUAGAGACCGAGAGAGGUGAGUGGAAUUUCCAGUGUAGAGGUGAAAUUCGUAGAUAUUGGAAAGAACACCAGUGGCGAAGGCG